rnacentral:rRNA from 1 species
CAGCCGCCGCGGUAAUACAGAGGGUGCGAGCGUUAAUCGGAUUUACUGGGCGUAAAGCGUGCGUAGGCGGCUUUUUAAGUCGGAUGUGAAAUCCCUGAGCUUAACUUAGGAAUUGCAUUCGAUACUGGGAAGCUAGAGUAUGGGAGAGGAUGGUAGAAUUCCAGGUGUAGCGGUGAAAUGCGUAGAGAUCUGGAGGAAUACCGAUGGCGAAGGCAGCCAUCUGGCCUAAUUCUGACGCUGAGGUACGAAAGCAUGGGGAGCAAACAGGAUUAGAUACCCCCGUAGUCCCUGUCUCUUAUAC